AGAAAACACACAGACGAAGUUAUCUUAACAUCUGUGAGGAGGGCUGCUUCAUUCUGUGGUAUGUAUGUGUCCCUCACAGAGUUUCAGUCUUUAUUCCUGACAGACUGAAGGUGCAGAAACAUGAAGUGGAUCGUCCACCUCACUGUGGUUCUUCUGAACGUUCUCUGGGUCGCCUUCUUUUUAACAGAUCCUUUAGCAGUGUUUGUCCAGAGAAGAAGCUCCAACAGCUCUGAUGAGGAGAUGAAGGUCGGAGAGUUUUGUCUUCAGCCUCCAUCUGAUAAAAUGUGGACAUCAACUCCAGGACCAGCUGACGUCCCCACUGAUAAAACCAGAAUGACAUCGGAUGCAAACAGAGACAGGACCAACACACCCAAUGAAAGCCAGUCUGUCUCCAGAACCGCCACAGAACCAGACUACCUGAACUCAUCACAGCAGUCAGAUAUCAGAGCUCCGACAGCAGCAAGUGAACCUCCUUCCACUUCUUCCGCCAUCAGAGACUUGAAUGAGGCGACUACAGCUCCUCCAACUGUCCAGACAUCGACUUCCUCAGUGGUGAUUUCAGUGAUUUCUAACAGCACAUCAGAAGCUGCUCCUGUUCCAGCGACCGACUGUUCAACAG
ensembl:lncRNA